rnacentral:lncRNA from 1 species
UUCAUUUUUUUGUUUUUUUUAUUUUUCUUUUGAUAUUUUUUUUUUUCACAAAAGCCCUUUGUCCCCCAAACACCAUUUUACUCAAAGGUACUUCACAAAGGGCUUUUAAAUUACAAUUUACCAAACACAAUUUGCAUUUUGAAAAACACAUUCAACUCAAAGGUCUUUGCAUUUUCCCAAAGACUUUCCCCAAAAGUCUUCCCAAACGCAC